rnacentral:rRNA from 1 species
UACGUAGGGCGCAAGCGUUGUCCGGAAUUAUUGGGCGUAAAGAGCUCGUCGGCGGCCUGUUACGUCUGCUGUGAAAUCCCGGGGCUUAACCCCGGGCGUGCAGUGGAUACGGGCAGGCUGGAGGCAGGCAGGGGAGAACGGAAUUCCCGGUGUAGCGGUGAAAUGCGCAGAUAUCGGGAGGAACACCGGUGGCGAAGGCGGUUCUCUGGGCCUGUACUGACGCUGAGGAGCGAAAGCGUGGGGAGCGAACAGG